rnacentral:tRNA from 1 species
GCCGGGGUAGCAAAGCCUGGCCAAAUGCGCAGGACUUAAGAUCCUGUCUCUUAGUGGGUUCGAGGGUUCAAAUCCCUUCCCCGGCACCA